UGCCCGGUGGUACAGUACCGUCACACUGAGUCCGUCAGGGGCACUCAAGUGCACAAUGUCGCAGCCUGCUUCUUCGGAAAUCUCUCACAGAGAAGGGGUUAAAGUUUGGGUCAGGCCUGUUUGCUUGCCCUCGAGCACACUUCCACGUGGACUGCUGGAAUGUGCUCCCACAGCAUAUCUGGAAGCUAAUAUUUGGUGAGUGCUGUCCUGUUGCCCCUGCUUGUUCUGCUCCAAUGAGAUGAGACAGAGGCAGCUCUGUGAAUGCUGUGUCCACCAGGCCAAAACUGGGUGUCCUUGGGUUGUGUCCCCAAAGGGGAGGCCGGCUGGCUGGCAGCCAGGAGCACUACAACAUCACACAGAGGGAGGGGAGCCUGUGUGGGCUGCACUGUCCCCCUUCACAUGGUGUCUCCUGAGCCCCACAGCUUCAGGAGGAAAAGUCACCCUCACGUCACACUUCACCUAAGACGCUAUUCCACCGUCACAGCAGAACGGCCAGAGCUGGGAAUCUACGCCCUGACUUCCACCUGCCAAGCUGAGUGCAUUUCUACUCUCAGGCACUGCCAGCACCUCGUGCCAGAGUAUAGUUUCCCAGGGGCUUGCUUUGAGGGGCGAGCAGGAGGAAAGGGGUUCUUUCUCACUGUCGACACUAGCUCAGAUCUGGCGUGGCGGGCCGCCUGGUCUGUGAGCUCCAUCUCUCACAUUCCAUCAUUCAUUCUUCCUCUGCCCAGUGAGGGUCACUGGGUGCCUAUCCUGUGCCCAGGUGGUGCUCUGGGGUCAGGUAAACCCAGCCGGGCAGGGUUCUGCUGUGUUCACGUUCCCGCAGCAGAAAAUGGGUGAAAGAGAGGGAGUAUGUUGUUUCCGUGUCGUGCUCAUGCAAGAGGGAGGCAGAGUAAGGAGACAGGCGAGCUUGGGUGGCGUGGGGCAGCCCCGAGGACAGGAAAACCCAAGGGCUUCCUGGGAAGGCCAGCCGGAUCCUGAGUGAGCCACACUCCAAGGCUGGGAGGGGCGGGCUUGGCAGAGAUGGAGCCGGGUGUUCAGGGGCAUCGAGGAGAUCGGUGUGAGGGAUCCGUCAGUGCUGCAGUGAGAACAGGGGCAGAAUGAGCUUGGAGCAGGUCUGUUACCUAUGUGACAGAGGUGCUCGCAGCACCCACCUGGGUGGCCGUGGCGGAGGCCCUCACUGGCAGCUCCAAGAUGUCGAGAAAGCCAUGUCCUUUUCAGCAAAUAACCGGUUCCUUUUUGAGAAAUAUUGUCUAGAUUUCUCCUGGGUCCUGUUAGACUCUGGGAACCUCGUUGUGGGACCCCAAAUAAUCUGACAGUUUACAAAAAGUGUGACCAUCCAGACAGCGAAGGAGCUGGGCGAGCCCAUCAGGGGCCUCGGGAAGUGGACAUGGACCCCAAGCACCGGGGAACAGUGUGACGCCUCAGGAGGUAGAGGUCCUCUCUGACCAGAGACCACAGGAGCAGAAAGGGAGCUCGGCCAAGGCCUGUGGAGGCUGCUUCAGUCAGCUCUUCUUCUCUGCUGUGACCAAAAGACCUGAGAAGAACAACGGUGGAGGAGGAGGAGUUUAUUUGGGAGCUCAUGGGUUCAGAGGUCUCAGUCCCUGGACAGCCGGCUCCAUUUCUCAGGGCUCGAGGUGAGGCAGGACACCAUGGCAGGAGAGUGUGGUGGAGGGAAGCAGCUCACCUGAUGAUCAGGAAGCAGAGAGGCUCCACUUGCCAGUUACAGGUGGACACAGCAUCUUUAUUUUUAUGUGGUGCUGAGGAUCGAACCCAGGGCCUCACGCAUGGUAGAUGCAAAUGCAAACAGAACCAAGGGGAUGAGGCCCGCCCAGGUGUGGUGGGACCUGAGCUGGAGGCUGCUGGGCCCUGAAGGCCCUGAGACCUUCCCAGCCUGCACCAUUCCCCCGAUGGUGCUCACCCGGGGACUAAACUUCACGACGCUUCGCAGAGCUGCUGCUUGCAGCUGCACCUAAUAGUAACCACAGUACUUUGAAAUAAAUUCUUUUUUUGCUUAAUUGGACUGUUACUUCUGUUGUUUGCAACCAAAGAACCCUAACUGCUGUAGAGCGGGUACUUUGAAUCGUCUGUAGACAACGCCCUCUCCAGGCGAUGUGGAGACCUGGGAGCUGAUUAUCGGGUGCCUUUGGGCCAACAGGCAGUGGCGGUCUCAUUGCUGCUUGGAUGGGAGCUGGCAGCUCAUGGGGUCCUCUGGCACUCGACCUGGACCCACAAGCAUCUAGGUGCCAAGGGCAGAGCACUGGCAGAUGCCGUGGUUGAGAGAGAUAAGGACGUUCCCCUGUGGACGGGACGGCUGCUCCUGGAUAGUGCAUCACUGAAGGUGAGAAAAAUUAAUGACUUCACAUAUAGAAAUUCUCACUUCACAGCAUGCACUGAACUCAGAGGCUUGGUGUGACUUUGCUGAAAGAAUGUUUUGUGGGCCAUAGGGAACAAGCCUGAGGUCACUUGAAGUGGGACUCGGACAUUGGCUUUGUAGACUUCAGAGUGAUGUCAGGGCACAUGCCCAGCGUGGCAAAGUGCCUUCUGGGAAAGCGAGGGCAUUGUUGUGAAGCUCAGGAUACCCACAACCGGCAGGGAUUCUUGGUGAUUUGUCCUUUUGAAGACUGUGUGGCAGAUGGCAGUCUGCAGAGCCCUCACUGGAAUGCUCUAGAACGUGCGUCUGACUUCAGCACAGCCUGGGGACAUGGCUCAGAAUCAGAGUGGCAAAGAGGAGUCAAGUUACAAGAACUGCAGGGCUCCUGUACGGUCUGACCUCCAGGAGGCUUGCUGUGGUCUGCAUGUGAGUGUCCCCCAGCAGCUCCUGUGAGAUGGAGGGGAAGGGGUGGGUAGGAGGCCCUUAGCCCAAUCAGUGCAUGAAUCCACCUAACUGGAUAGGCAGGUGCCGUGUGGCUGGGGAAGGUGGGGCCCUGGGCCUUGCCUUUGGGAAACGGGUAUCUUGUCGCUGGUGAGUGGGGCACUGCUGCUUCCUUGACGGCAUGCCCUGGCUGCUUUCCUCCUCUAAACCCUUUGCCACGUUCGCCUCGCCUCCGGCCCAGAGCAAAGGAGUCGGCCAUGUAUGGACUGAGACCUUGGAAACCGUGAGUCCAAAUCAAAUUUUCUUCCUUUAAAAUUGUUCUUCUCAGGUAUUUUGGUCACAGUGAUAUAAAAAGCAGACCUAAACAGUGCUGGACCAAGAAGAGUUGGGCCUCCUGUUGAUACUCUGAAUCUCUUCAGCUGAAGCUGGUUCAUGUCCCAGAAACCCUGCGUUUACCAAGCAGCCCUGGGACUCCCGGUGGCCGCGGUGCUGGCUAAGGCAAUUCUGCUCACAGCUUUGCAGGGGUGUGAUGCUAAAGGGCCAGAACCUCUGGUCUCAUGCAGAGGAGGGAGAUGGGCGCUGACGGACCCUCACACACAAGUCCCUGACAGUUUCUCCUUCCAUCGAGGCCUCGAGGUGAAAGCUGGAGAAUUCCUCUGAACCGUGUUCCUGGGCAGGCCAGAGGUAAUGACAGUCAGCAUUCAGCCCUGGGCACCUCUGCUACCUGUCACCCAGCCCCGCCCACAGCUCUGCCAGUUCCUCGCUCCAGGGUCCUCGAUGGUGCCCUUCCCACCUGCCCAGAUAUGGCCCCACUGCAGGGUCACCCCUACGCAUGAUUGCUGAAAGGUCUGACUCUUGUCACCUUCCAUGGGACCCUUGGAGGAGUGGUGCCGGGCACCUCCUAUCCCUUUCCUAGCAGAAGAGCCAUGUGGACCUGGGAGCAUGCUGGCCGUAACCUGUGACACCCUAUUUUUUUGUUUGUUUACUUGUGGCUGGGGAUUGAAGCCAAAUUAACAAGAGAAAAGUAGAGGGUGGGGUGGUGCUCACCUGUGACCCCAGCUCCUCAGGAGGCCGGGCAGCAGUACGCAAGCCUGGGCACUUUAGAGAUACCUUGUCUCAAAUAUAAAAUGGGCUGCAGAUGCCGCUCAGCGGGACGGGGCUUGCCUCGUGUGUGCCAGGCCCCGGGUUACAUCCCCAGUGCCAGCUCCUGUCCCCAGGAAAGGAAAAGAAAGAAAGAAACAAAAAACCAACAACAACAAGGAAAGAAAAGCACACAAUUUAUUCAAAAUAAAUUUUACUUGACGUGGAAACCUUUGGGAGAAAAAGCCCUAAACACAGGGGCCUGUGCUGCUCGUUUCUGCAGUGCGGGCUGCACCCGGGCCCCAGGCCUGCUGGGCAAAUGCUCUGUGCAGAGCUACGCUCCAGUCGGGAAGAAGCGCUUGCUUGUUGGAAUGGAGUCUCACCAUGUUGCCUGCGCUGGCUUCGAGCUCCUGGGGAGGGGGCUAUUGCAGGCAGGUGGAGGGGCCUGUGGGGGUCAGGCAAGUGCCCCACCUUGGCUUCAGAGAAGCAGGUGUGUCCUGCCUGCCCUCCUGAGCCUGAGUAACCUUACCCUUGGGUUUGCUGGAGGGUGGACCAAGUGCACGACUGCGACUGAAGCCCAAGCUGGGACAUGGGAUGGCGAGCGAGCAGACGUGCGGGGCCUGUGUCUUCAGAGCAGGCCGCUCCUCUCCUCUGGCCGUAGGGAGGAGGUGCCUCCAAAACAAGGGUGGGAGCAGCACUCACGCUGACUCCGGGUUCCCAAGUCCAUCAUUUUGAAUAAGGAAGAAGUAGAAUGCGGAGCCUGUGGGUCUUGUCACAUCUCCACCUGGCCAAAGUGUCCAACUCCACUGUCUAUCCUGCGUCCAGAAGCAGAACAUGGGGCGCUAAGGUCAGUGUCCGCUCCCUGGGGUGUGGGUAAGUAAGCCACAGGACGACGCCGGGAGCAAUUGGACUGGGACCCGGUACUGUCACACCCCAGUGAAGCCAGAGCCAUUGCUUAGAAUGCUGGCCUCCUGGCCCGAGCUUGGGGGUGGUAAGGAGAGCAACUGAAGAUGAUUGCUAUGCUGUCUGUCUGCCUGAUGUUUUUCCUCAUGAGAGCAAAAUGACAAAUAGCCAAAUUGGACAGAUGUCAUAUACUAAAAUUGAUUUUUAAAGAAUUAUUUCUUGAGAUGGGGUCGUGCUAUGUUGCCCGGGCUGGCCUCAAACUCCAGGGCUCAAGUGCUCCUCCUGACAGGGGACUGGGAUGAUAGGGUGGGGGAGCCAGGAUGAGGGGAGGGUGCCUCCGCAGGACUGAAUGCGGGCGGCCCUGGCUUGGAUCCCCAGCACUGCCAAGAAGGAAAAGUCCUAUAAAAGACACCCUUGAGGUAAGGUAUGGCCCCGCACAGCCACGCCUUCCUCUCCCAGGCCUCAGUGGAUGCUGGCACCACACUCAUUUCAGCAUUUGGGAAAACAGUGACAGACCUGUGCCACUUAACUGCAUGGGAAGUAAAUCUGCAGGGUCUCUUGCAUUUCCGCAGGAGGCUUUCUGCCACCUUCCAGAGGAUACCUCUAGAGGGACAAUGGGGUGACAGAGCAGCUUCUCCUCCAGGUGAAGGACAGGGCAGGCGCGUCCUGCCUGUGGGAUAAAGUAGCACCCUUCCCGAGCCAACGGCAGGUGGGUCUGUGUGCAGCCCCCCUUGAAUGCUGGGGUUUUCUACGUUGGGGCCCCCAGCUGUGACACAUUCAAUGUGUGCCAAAUCCGCCCUGCCCCUUCUCCAUCACCCUAUCAGUCAUGGGGCCAAGGGGCCUGUGAGCUUGUGGGGCUCUUGCUGUUUCUAUGUGGUCUGGCCCAGGAGCUCUGGAUCUUCAUCCAGGGUCCUCGAGGCCAGAGCGCUAAGUAGGGCAAAGUCCAGAACCUUCCCAGUGCUGACCAAAGACAGAGUAAAGCUGGAAGCAGACCCACGCUGGACCGUUUGCACUGCGGCAGGUGGAGUAGCACUGCCCUGCGUCAGCACCUAACAAGUACACGUCAGGGAAGUGACAGAGGGGACCCCGUGUGGCAGAGGGAAUUCAGGUGGCUGAUGAGCUGAUCUUCAGCUAGGGCGCAUUCUGGCUCAUGCCGACAUGGGGGCAGAAUGUAAGACGUUCACGAUUCUCAGCCUUCUAUUUUGGGCUGAAACUGAAAAAGAGUGAAUUUUGUUGUUCUGUGUCACAGGAUUGAGGAUUUUCUGUAACAACAGAGGAUUAUUCAUAUAGAAAAGUAAGGUGUACAUUUCCAGCUACACAUCUUUGGUCUGCGUUUUGUGAGCACUCCCUGGGGUGUGGCAGAAGGCAGGAUUUCUGGAGCAUCUAUUGUUUGUUCUGACAUUCCUGCAGACUUUCCAAUGCUCCUGUCUCUACGGAAGUCUGUGGGGUUCAGGAAGAGCUCCCACUCUGCUAGGGCAGCCUAGAACAUGGGCGUUUACGUAGCAGCAUGAAUGUCGCAGACGCAUGCGUGUUGGUGUGGCACACGGUACGUGGCCUGUGUGUUCCUGCUGACAGGCGCUGACUGGGCAUUCACCAAGCAGGAAGAGGAGAGCCACAGACCAACAGUGCAGAUGUUUUCCUUCUGUUUUAGAAAGGAUGGGCCUGCGAGGCCAGGUGGCAGAACACAAGAGGACUGUCCCCGAAGCCACUCUGGGUCAUCUAUUUUGCUGUAUAACACAACUGUGUACUGUCUCCCAUGGACACACCCAUCCCAACACACUGCAGAGCUCCUCACAGGAGUGCACGCUUCAGACACUCAAAUGCACACACAAACACGCAGGAACACAUGCAUGUGCCCGCACUCCCACAUAGACAGCUCACGCUGCCCCUGGACAGAGGAACUCGGGAACUGUUCCUCUGCACAUGUGCACAACACGCGUGCACACACAGGGGCUCCAUCUGGAGAGGCAGGGAUCUGCCCACUGCCACAAGGUGUGGCGAGGUGGCAACUGAGGCUGCAGCAGCGUGGACACGGUGGGAGGGGACAGAGAAGGAAGGAGCCUGUCUGUGGACUGUUAUCAGUAACCACACAGAAAGUCCAGAGGCCCUUGCUGUGCUAGAAAAAUACCACACUUCAUAAAACCCAUGUUUAUUCAAAAAAAUCUAUUCUGAAAUUCUGGAAAGCAUAAUAAAUACCUGUACAGUGGCCGCUGUCUCAAACGCAAAUACAAAGCGCUGACAUGAAACGAUCUGUAAACAUAACUGCUGAGCUUGUAAACAAAAGUGCUGAGGCGGAGGAGCUGGGUGAGAAGCGAGUUCGACAGGACAACCAGGACGCUGCAUGGAGUCCCCUCCACUGUCCCCCACACCUGGGGACCUUUAGCGUCCUCUUCUGUUCUAGCACGCCGAUGACUCUCAGAAAGGUGAGGGGCAACAAAGCAAGUCCGAAAUGGAACGGAGAGCGAAAAGUGCGAGGCAAAGAUCCCGUGCGCAUCCUCAGAAGCGAUGCCAACCGUAAGCAGUGCUGGUUGACAUUAGGGGCCAUAGACCCUUGCAAAGCUGACCAGGCUUCCAAACGCAGUGUAGUGCAAAGUCCCUGCAGGCCUAACCUUGGGAUGAGCGAGUCCUUGGUCUUCCACGCGGACUCUGGGUGUGUGUACCAGGCUCCUCCCAAAUGAGGACUGUCAGAUGGGCCCUGGAGGGUGGCCUGAAGGACCGCUCAGCCUGGGGAAGGAGGCCUGGGUGUGGGCUGGGUUGCUCUUGGCGGAUUCUGUGGUGUGUGCUGUUCAGAGGGAUCACGUGCUCUGCAUGGGCAGGAAGGGCGACCGAACCUCCUGGGAGCCUGCGUCAUUCCUGCAAAGCAUCCGGGGCCUCUCAUCUAGUGGCAGGUCCAGGGACACCGGCAUCACACACCCCUGCUGCUCCGAAACCACCCUUUCAAGUUGAGUUGAAGGUGGUCCCCACAACUUCUUUGGGCUUUCUGCGGAAGGACGUCGGGUGUCAUUUUGUUGUGGGCGGGGGUGGGAAGGUCAGGCGUUUCACAGACUCGGCAGGGCUGAGCGGACAUCCUCUGGCGCGCAGGGAGACUCAUGUCAAGCAGAGUUUGGUGUGACGCCUCCUUGUCCCUUUGGCAUGCUUGUGGCUUAGAGCGUAAGGCAUAGAAACAGGCACUGCUGGAGAAGAGGACGCAGGCCAUGGAGCCCGCGCAGGGCGGGCCUGCCCUCUUCCUCUGGGAUGCGUCUCACCACUUGCCCAUCCUCGCCUCCUUGGAACCCAGCCACCCAGGCCAGCGGCUGUGGGCUGCUUGUGCCCAUGGAGCAGGCAAGAUUCAAGGGUCUUUUGCUCAUUUCCAGGGUGAACCGUGACUGGGGCCACCCCUUUUCCCUAGGUUUCUGACAAGAAGUGAGAUUAUCCAAAGCCAAAGUCCACAGCCAUCGGGAUAUCAGUGUAGCCUUGAGGAAAAGCGUUCUGCACGGAGAAAACAAGAGGACGCCCAGCAGCACUGCGGGAGCAGGUAUGCAAGCUGAACCCCACCUCUCAGGGUUCUCUAAACAAAGUAAAAAGCCUCAUGGAAUAAAGCUUGUGAAACAAGUUUAUAUUUUAAGGCCUGAAAACAAUUAGACCAAGCUAAGGAGAGUUCUCCAGAACGCAGCACUUUGUUGGGGAGCGGGGAGCUGGGUCCUAGGGUGAAUGAGACGGAGGAAAGAGAGAGACGGAGCGUCCGUGGAGCCUGUGGGGGGUAGCCCAGCAUCCCUACUGGAGCUCGGGGACCACAGGAGUCACUCCUGGAGGCUGGGCCUGGGCCGGCCUCCAGGAAGCUUCUCGUUUGGUUUUAUUCCACAAAGGUGCGUAGCUGGGCCCGCCCUGUGCCAAGGGCCCUCCAGGGCACACACCGCACCAGGGACACUGGACAUCACUGAAAUGUCGAUUUAAAAACAGAUCUAAGUAACAGAAACACAAAACAGCACAAGACCACAGCCCCACUCAGUGCCUCCCUCCUGGUGGAGACAAGGGCCCUCUGCCUUUGGGUGGGCCUCGUCUGCCUGUCCUCUCCAGAAGGCCUGAGGAAGGGUGGGGAGACAGAAGAGCCCACUCCUCAAACUCUGCAGUUCUCUGGAGGGUGAACACAGUGGACCCUCCGCCUGGGUGGGCAUGUGCGGGGCUACGGUGUCUGGCAGAGCAGAGCUGUACCCUCCAGAGGGGCCCCCCUGGACCAGAGGCCAGGGGUGGGAGCAUGCUCCGAGCCUCUGUGGGGCGACAGGAGCUCUGCCCUGCUUGCUCCUGCGGGGGGGUCCACUCUGCACUGGUGAACUGGGGGUCUGGGAGCAGAGACCUGCUUCCUGACUCCUGGGUGGGCUCUCUGCCCUGAUCGAGGCAGUGAUGGAAGCAGGAGUCCACCCCGCACCUUACUCAGGUGUCGGAGGGCAUAAGGGACAGUUCUUUGGACAGCUUUGCAGGGACCAAGUAUCUAACCUGGAGGCCCCAGUGCUAACCCAGGCAGCGGCUAGACCACACUGUGGUCCUCCUCUGUAAUAAGGGAUGCCUAUGGAGGGGAUCUGACCAAUCUCUGGCUUCAAGGCUGGAAAGGAUGUCUCCCCAUAAACACAAGCCAUGACAUGAAAAGCCCCCGAGACCAAGGGGACCUGGCUCCAACGUGGCAAUGUGAGGUGAUGUGCGCUCAUUUGGUUUCGCUCAGAAUUGAAGGAGAGCAGGUGGCAAGGUUGCUGUGGUGUGGCUCAGAGAAGUCACCAGGUCAGGCCCCUUUCUGGGCAAAAAGGAAACACAGAAACAGCGAAGGCCAGCUCUGCCUUCGUGUUGGAUGUGUGGUCCCUCGAGGUGCCACAAGUGGGGCCCUGCGGCAGCGUCUGCGAGCCUGAGAGGAUGCUGGGCAGGAGGCAGGGCAGCGUCUGGCCGUGGCCACUACAACCUGGUGGAUGUGAGUCUCUUCAUGCCUCUGCGUUGGGCCAGGCUGGAGGACAGCACAGGCUCCAGCCGUGGCGCCUGAGGCGUCCUGUUCAGAGCAAAGUAGGUGGCUGCCAUGGCACCCUGCAAGAGGAGGGGAGGGCGGGGCUGAGCAUGUGCCCACCUGUUCCUGCAUAGGAGCUGGAGACGUGCAUGCCCCCGGGCAAGGUGGGGGAUGGGACCUCGCUCCAGGGCUGCUGGAGAACCAGGCAGCGAGCUCCUGAAGUGCCCAUGGGCAGUGGCACACCAUAUGCUUUAUUUCCACUGCACCCUGCCACCAUCCCACGCCAGCCUCAUGUGCUGCUCGUGCCUGGGGUAUUCAGGAUCACGUGGAGCCCCAGGAGGAGGUCACGUGAUCCCCUCACUCUCACGGGGAGGCCAGGCCUGUGCUGGGGCCUGUGGGUCUCCAGGAACACAUCUCCAGCCAGUGCCGGGGUGUGUUGAGCUCAAGUUUUCACUCUGGAGCCGUGUGCACAGGCACGGAUGAUGCUAGGUCCGCUCUGAUUCACCGGGAUGGACCCAGAAUGGACCACUCCACAUGGGACAGAGCAAGUCCUGCAGGGCGGGCUCUGUGCACAUUUCUUAGAAAUGUCCAGAAACAGGGUUGCCUGAGAGAUGACUGUGCUCCCAGUGUCAGCUGCUGAUGGGGACCUCUGUAGGCCUCUGGUCUAGAAUUGAGGGCUCUUGAACUUGGGGCCCUACAGCCAUGGCACCUGCCACCCCCCACCUGCAGACAUUCUCAUGCAAACCUGAGCCCUGCAUGUGACUGCAUAUGUGCGAUGAAAGGUAUGACAGGACCCAAGGACACCUGUUUGUGCCUGCAACUGGUGACUCUUUGGUGCACUUUGGUCUCCUCAAAUGAACCUUGAGAUGUCAGACCUGUUCUAGGUUUCCCGUGUCCACUGUGUGUCCCCACUGCUGGCUGGUACCUUCACCAGGUGCACGUCCUGUCUGCUCAGCUGGUUCUGGGACAGGAACUCCCUGUUGACAAUCCACGGGUGUUUUAGUACUUGCACUGCUGUCAGGCGCUGCUGUGGGUCCACGUGGAGCAUCCGGGACACAACGUCCUGUGGGGACAGCAGAGCAGAGUGGGGGAGGGUGUUGGGUGGUCAGAGUGGUUCUGGGAGGAAGCCGCUACAGUCCAUGGUCAUGAGCAUGCACGUGCUUUUCAACCAUCACCAACUCGGCCUUCUGAGAAGGCCGACCUUUCACUAAAGUCUUACCUUCAAGGGAACCUUCAAUGAUGCGCAGAGGUGCUGAAAUACUAUUUUAGUGAAAUGAUAUCCUUCCAAAGGGAGAAGUUGAAAUGAUGAACAUCCCACACAGAGAAACCAACUCAACAACAUGGAGUUACGUUUUAUUAAGGACUAUCUACAGAUAUUCACUCCGAGUAACAGUCGCUGUAGAAUUGACCAUCUGCAGCCAUUACCUAUGCCAGUGGGCCCUCAUUCAAACAAGGCAAUUCUUGUUUGGUGGUAAGGUAAUAACAGAAAUCCCUCAGUGUUUGAAGACAGUGGUCCACCUCCCACAGAGCCACACAUGAGUGUGGCACACACCUGCAUUGCACACAAGACCUGGAACAUCUGCGUGCUGGAUGCAUCUGCUCUGUGACGCCUCAUCACCAGGAGGCAGACCUCACCUCCCUGCUCUGAACUUGGGGCCCUACAGCCAUGGCACCUGCCAUGGCACCGCCCAGGGAGGAUCAGGGCGAGGUUCACGUUCUCUCCACUCUCCUUCCUUGAGCCCCUGCACCACAUUCGCCCUGGAACACAGGCAUCAGGGAGCACGCCUGAUGUGGAGGAGGAUGGUUCAGAGAAGGUAUGGACAUCACCUCAAGGGAGAAACGCUACGUGCGGCAACAGUGCCCCCUGCAGAGAAGUCCAGUGCCUUUCAGUGUUGAAAACAUGACCCUCCUUAAUCCUUCCUGGAGGUGCCCCUGUUCCAAGUCCCCAAGACCACCUUCCAAACAAGCAUGGGCACCUAAUCUUGGCCUGAGGCUCAGCUUUGGAAAUAGAGAAUUAAGACAAUUCCUAUACGCACUUCAGACAGAGUGGGUGUGCAGCUGGGAGUCCUGGGGUGUCAGCGCCCGAGACCCUAAAGACAGCUGCCUUCCCUUCACCAUCACCUGCCCCAUCACCUCCUCUCUAUCCUCUACCAUCACCUCCACAGGACCUCCACUACUGCCACCUCCACUAUGUCCUCUACUAUCACCUCCACGGGACCUCCACGACAUCCACUAACGUCACCUCCACAGGACGCACAUUACCAUCACCUCCACUAUAUCCUGCCCCAUUUCCUCCACCAGUAGUUUUUCAGCUAUGAGGCUUAAGAAUCCUAGGAGAAAAGUCUCUCCACUGCUUAUGUGGAGGGCACCCUCAGGGCCUCUCAGCAGUCUGGAUCCUGCAGAGCCUCCAGGAGUGGGAAGCGGGAACACUGGGCGUGCACUCACCUUUGCCGCGUCGGAUAUCGAGUCCCAGUUGCCCCCCGAGAGGGCAUACUUCCCGCUGCCAAUCCUGGCCAGGAUCUCCUCUGGAGUGUCAUCUGGUCCAUUUGCAAAAGGGGUGAAUCUGUGUAAGGGGUGAACUUAUGGCAAUGAGUUUCAUUUUACAAUCUACACUAAACACUGACACUUUGUUGCUAAAGGGAAGGACUGCUUUCUUUCCCCUGGUGUUUUCUAAGCCCCAGGUUCAUGGUGAAGCUAAAGUGCCUCCUAACAUGACUUUCCCCACAUGGUUGAUGUGGAACUGUGCUGGGGAUGCAGUUUCUAUGGUGUAGUGAUGAGAGCCGAGGCUUAAGGUCCGAGAGACCCAAGGUUGAUCCAUUACUAGCUCUGGGUUCUUAGACAAACCAAUUCUUUAAGUCUCAGUUGCAAAACGGGUAACUAAUACAGUGGUGGGAAUGGUAAUGGUCACAAGCCCACUGGCAUGCAAUAUGCCAGGCGCAGACAGCACCAUGUGACCAGCAUGAGAGAUGGCACGGUGACCCAUGGUGUCAGCAAGAGCUCUGUGCUCCUCUGCCAAACCUGGACCACAAAGCCCUGCCCCUUGUGGGGGAUGCUAACUGUAGGGUUAUCAUGCAACACCUAAGACAGGCCAGCCUCCUCCUGUGAGGGCCUUCGCCACAGCAGGCAGGAUGGGGUCUAUGUCCAACACGGGCUCCACAGACCUGCAAACGCAGGGAACCAGUGGCUCUUGUAGGAUCCCAGUCCUUCCUGGUUAGAAGAAGCCUCUCCUCACUUAUAGGUUGGGGCUUCACCAAGGACUCAGAGCUAGUGAAGGGGGACCUGUCCAGGGGCAGACAAGGUCUCUUGCUAUAAGGCCACACAUCUUGUCACUGGACUAGCCUGUAUGUGUCUGGUAGCUGUGAGAGUCACUAACUGGCAAGCACCUUCAAAGAGGCCACUUGACCCAGAAGCCUCGGCAGAUGCCUCUGGCUCAGGAGGAUGUUUCUCAGGCACAGAUGUGGCUCCUUUCAAGAGUGGCAUGUGUAGCAGAGAGAACACGGGCUAGAAGGCACAAGGCCUGGGAGUUUUGUUGACAGGCAGAGUUGGAGGAAAAUGCAUGGCUGCAUUUCUUAUUCUUGCUCUUCAGAAGUCUGAGAGAAACCUAGGCGUGUUGCCUACACACGGCAGGCAUCUGCCCCCACAUGUGCCAGGGUGGGACCAGCCACAGGGGGCUCUGCCACCUGCAACUGACACCCUGUAAGGCCAUUCUUACCCUGCCAGCAUGGUGUAUAACAGGAUCCCCAAACUCCAGACAUCACAUGCCGCGUCAUAGCCUUGCCGCUUGAGGACCUAGGCAGGGACAGCAGUAGAUGUUUGAAUAGGCAACUCACGUGCCCAGUGUGUCUACCAGGGACACAGAGGGCGGGUGGGGAAUAGCAGGGCAGGCCCGCUGCUCCCUAGGACACAGAUGCCCUGAGUGCUGCAGCAGGGUCCCUCACAGAGAGCACACAGUGCCACGGUGCUUGCCAGGCUCUCAGAACCUCAUGAAAGUGGAAUUAUACAAUAUUUGUCUUUUUGUGCCUGGCUUAUUUCAUUUACUGUGAUAUCUUCAAGGUUCAUCCGUGUGGCACGUGCCAGGAUCCCCUUCUGUUUUAAGUGAUAUUCCAUCCCGUGUACACACAUGUUGUUCACCAAUCCACCCACGAUGGACCUUGCAUUGCUUUCACUUUGGGCUACUGUAAAUAACACUGUUAUGAACAGAAGUGGAGAAAUGCGUCAGUUCUGUUGAGCGUGUAGUCGGAGGAGCUACUGAGGUGGCCUAGGAUCACCUACUCCAACAGAGGGCAAUCCUCCGAUCUUUUUAGAGUUGAAUAAGGUGGGGAGAAAGUGGCAGGGAUGGUCAAGGAUGACCUAGGUUUCUGGAUUAAAUGGGGUCAGGAGCUUUGGUCAGCUUCCCCUGAGAUAAGGGCUAGGAGCCUGCCUUACGUCUGUGCCUCCCUGCCCCUGAGAGCUGUGCUGUGACACGCAGGCGCAGCCAGCACACACUGAAGGAACUGAAAGCUCCAGAUGCAAGCUCCAGCUUCGUGAUCCACUGGCCAGUGACCUUCUAUCGCUGAGCAUGCUGAGAGUGCCUGUCCUGCACCUAUGAACGCAGCUAGCCGUACAUACUCUGUCCAUACAGUGAGCACAGGAAAAAUCAGCAGUGCUUUGUAAAAAUGGCCGAGUUACUCAACAAUACAGCCUUCUCUAGUCAACAGACCCAAGGCCUUGGGACCCCAGAACGUGCCUCUCCAAACACGCCUUGCUGGCCUGAGGCUGUUGAGCUGAGAGCCAAGCAGUCAGUGCAGGAGAGCUCUCUGUCCGCCCUCCAUUUCCCUGAAGAUGACACAGGUUCAUGAGGACAGAACAUCCCUGGGCCUGCCUGCAGUACAACAUGGGCCAGCAUCACUAUCAGCCGACACCUGCUGUCAGGCCCUCCCCUCAGUGGCUGCCCAGGGGUUCUGGGUGCUCCUCUGUCCUGUUACUUCCUUAAGAGGCCCCUGUUCUGGGUGGACGAUGCUUCAGAAUCAGAGCUCUGGGCAGCUCCUAGAGCGCCCCACUGUGGAGUGGCUCCCAUACCCGACGUGACCAAAACCUGUUUGAUUUUUUCUUGCUCAUCUGUCUUUGUUCCAAGGGUUCAUUCCAACAAAGAACUGGUAAUGGCUGAAGAACAAUCACUUUCCCCUCUGCAGGCCCAUCAAUAUUAACUUGGAUAUGAGGCACUGUGGAACUUAAAGCCAGGUUAUUUUCAAAGGGGCCACAGGUUGCUUAAGCAGACGCAGAGCUCCUGGAGAACCUCUCAGUGCCUCCUGGCCCUGCCCUACUGCCCCAGCUGCAUCUCAACCCGCACCAGGCGUGGGGCAGCAGGCGUGAGCUGUGGCCGUGGGUUUCCUCUGCUGGGCCCCAUCAGGUGCCAGGCCUGACUCCCCAGGACUUGCUGUGCAUUCAACCACACUUGUUCCACAGCAGCCUUGACAAUUUCAACCAGAAGAACCCAGAGUCUAAAGCCCUCUCCAUCCCUGAUCCUCUUGUUCUCUCACCUCACCCCUGCGGCUCCAUCCCUAUGUUCCCCACCAGAGUGGUUGUCAUGGACACAUCAGGGACGUGAGCCCCCAAAGGAUCUGGCUCCAGUGAGCUUGUGAAGGGGUGUCCACAAGAUGGCUUUGCUGAGAUGCUCUGCAGUGAGGGGCAGGGAGAGGGAGGGCCUGUGCCUGUGGGCGAGCCUUCAGAACCCUGGUGUUCUGAAUCCCGCGGCUGCUGACACUUUGGAGCAAGAACUAUAGUGCAAAGAACACUCAUCUCCCUCUGCUGUGAAAGAAGCCUGGAGGCCCUGCCUCUCAUCACAGUAGCAGGCAUGCAGAUUUGAUCCAGAUCCUCGGCACGUUUUACAGGAAGUGUUGCCACUUAAGUUUUUUCAAUUAGGAAAGUAAAAUGGUAACAGUUA